CUGCUGUUGCCGCGCUGAUGUGCGACGGAGUCCGUGGUAACGGCAGCGAGUUUGAAGACGUCCAUCGCACCGUAUGAGUUAUUCAUGCGGCCCGAACACGGGAGAGAACGCUGAGCGUUACAAC
rfam:Corynebacterium sp. KPL1989 genomic scaffold addTB-supercont1.3, whole genome shotgun sequence.